rnacentral:rRNA from 1 species
GACGGGGCCCGCACAAGCGUGGAGCAUGUGGUUUAAUUCGAUGCAACGCGAAGAACCUUACCUACUCUUGACAUCCAGAGAACUUAGCAGAGAUGCUUUGGUGCCUUCGGGAACUCUGAGACAGGUGCUGCAUGGCUGUCGUCAGCUCGUGUUGUGAAAUGUUGGGUUAAGUCCCGCAACGAGCGCAACCCUUAUCCUUUGUUGCCAGCGGUUCGGCCGGGAACUCAAAGGAGACUGCCAGUGAUAAACUGGAGGAAGGUGGGGAUGACGUCAAGUCAUCAUGGCCCUUACGAGUAGGGCUACACACGUGCUACAAUGGCAUAUACAAAGAGAAGCGACCUCGCGAGAGCAAGCGGACCUCAUAAAGUAUGUCGUAGUCCGGAUUGGAGUCUGCAACUCGACUCCAUGAAGUCGGAAUCGCUAGUAAUCGUGAAUCAGAAUGUCACGGUGAAUACGUUCCCGGGCCUU